UACAGAGGUCUCAAGCGUUGUUCGGAUUCAUUGGGCGUAAAGGGUGCGUAGGCGGCGCGGUAAGUCGGGUGUGAAAUCUUGGAGCUUAACUCCGAAACUGCAUUCGAUACUGCCGUGCUUGAGGACUGGAGAGGAGACUGGAAUUUACGGUGUAGCGGUGAAAUGCGUAGAUAUCGUAAGGAAGACCAGUGGCGAAGGCGGGUCUCUGGACAGUUCCUGACGCUGAGGCACGAAAGUCAGGGGAGCAAACGGG
rnacentral:rRNA from 1 species